rnacentral:tRNA from 1 species
AUCUUUCUAGUAUAUACAGUACUAGUGACUUCCAAUUACUUAGGCCUGGUUAAAGCCCAGGGAAAGAUA